rnacentral:tRNA from 1 species
GCGGGUAUAGUACAACGGUUAGUAUAUCAGCUUUCCAAGCUGAGGAUACGGGUUCGAUUCCCGUUACCCGCU